rnacentral:tRNA from 1 species
UCUAAUAUGGCAGACUAGUGCACUGAACUUAAACUUCAAAUAUGAAUUAAUUAUUCUUUUGGAA